UACGAAGGGGGCUAGCGUUGCUCGGAAUCACUGGGCGUAAAGGGUGCGUAGGCGGGUCUUUAAGUCAGAGGUGAAAUCCUGGAGCUCAACUCCAGAACUGCCUUUGAUACUGAGGAUCUUGAGUUCGGGAGAGGUGAGUGGAACUGCGAGUGUAGAGGUGAAAUUCGUAGAUAUUCGCAAGAACACCAGUGGCGAAGGCAGCCCCCUGGGCUGACACUGACGCUCAGGCACGAAAGCGUGGGGAGCAAACAGG
rnacentral:rRNA from 1 species